rnacentral:rRNA from 1 species
GAGUCUUGCCUGCUCACUGAUUUUAAUUUAAAGAGCCGCGGUAUUAUGACCGUGCAAAGGUAGCAUAAUCAUUAGUUUCUUAAUUGGGGACUGGAAUGAAUGGUUUGACGAGAAAUUAACUGUCUCUUAUUAAUUUUUAGAAUUUAACUUUUAAGUUAAAAGGCUUAAAUGAUUCUUGAGGACGAGAAGACCCUAUAGAGCUUUACAUUUAUAAUUUUAUAUUUUUAUUUAGUUGAUUUUUGAAUAUAAUUUUUUUAUUGUUUGGUUGGGGUGACAUGAAGAAUAAUUAAACUCUUCAUUAUAAAAUCAUUGAUUUAUGUUUAUUUGAUCCAUAAUUUAUGAUUAUAAGAUUAAGUUACCUUAAGGAUAACAGCGUACUC